UACGGAGGGGGCGAGCGUUAUUCGGAAUUAUUGGGCGUAAAGGGCGCGUAGGCGGCUGUGUAAGUCAAAGGUGAAAUCCCUCGGCUCAACUGAGGAACUGCCUUUGAAACUGCUCAGCUUGAGGCCGGGAGGGGGUGGUGGAAUUCCCAGUGUAGCGGUGAAAUGCGUAGAGAUCGGAAGGAACGUCAAUGGCGAAGGCAGCCACCUGGCAUAAUACUGACGCUGAGGCGCGAAAGCAUGGGGAGCGAACAGG
rnacentral:rRNA from 1 species